GACGGAGGAUGCAAGCGUUAUCCGGAAUUAUUGGGCGUAAAGCGUCCGCAGGUGGCAGUUCAAGUCUGCUGUCAAAGACCGGGGCUUAACUUCGGAAAGGCAGUGGAAACUGAACAGCUAGAGUAUGGUAGGGGCAGAGGGAAUUCCUGGUGUAGCGGUGAAAUGCGUAGAUAUCGUUUGGAACGCCAACGGUGAAAACAGACAGCUGGGAGUGUGCUGACGCUGAGACACGAAAGCCAGGGGAGCGAACGGG
rnacentral:rRNA from 1 species